AUUUAUUUAAUUCAAUAUGUGUAUAAUACAUUGUAUGCGCGACCGCUAUUGGGCAUUACAAAAUAACAUAACAAUACUACGUAGAUUAAUGCAUAACAAAAUAUCCUUUUACUCCAGUUAUAUUUAUUACUAACUCUCAAUUAAUCUAUCUUGAUUAUUUUCUAACCGCUUUCUAUACUUUAUCAGCUAUUUUAUUUCUUCUUAUUAACCUGCGAAAUUCAUGCAUGUACACUUCCUUGUAUAGUGAUUAAUUGUUCACGAGGUAGGUUGCACUUUCACUGUUUUAGUUAUUCAUUGAACUAACACGUUUUACGUUCAAACAGUAAUUGGAGCACUCGUAAUAAACCUUUUCUUUUCAAGUUUCCGCUAUCUGUGUUAUUCAACGAACAGUGCCAUGCUUCCACACUGGCUGUUGUACAUGGUAUUCCGCAAACAGGGAGCCAUAACCUAUUUUGCACGUAAACCUUCUCGUAUGAUGAUUACUUGUUCACAAGGUAACUUUCACUUUCACUCUUUUAAUUAUUUAUUGAAUCAACACGUUUUAUAUUCAAACAAUGAUUGGAGUACACAUGAUAAUUUUCUUUUUUUUCUUUUUAGGUGUUCACUAUCUGUAUUAUUCGACGAACAGUGUCACACCUCCUUUUGAUUUAUCCACAAUAUAGUUAUAACAUUUAGUAA